AACCUCCGCAAUGUGAGAAAUCGCGACGGGGGGAUCCCAAGUGCCAUUCUUAACGGGAUGGCUUUUCAUUAGUGUAAAGAGCUUUUGGAAUAAGAGCUGGGCAAGACCGGUGCCAGCCGCCGCGGUAACACCGGCAGCUCUAGUGGUAGCAAUUUUUAUUGGGCCUAAAGCGUCCGUAGCCGGUUUAAUAAGUCUCUGGUGAAAUCCUGUAGCUUAACUGUGGGAAUUGCUGGAGAUACUAUUAGACUUGAGACCGGGAGAGGUUAGAGGUACUCCCAGGGUAGAGGUGAAAUUCUGUAAUCCUGGGAGGACCGCCUGUUGCGAAGGCGUCUAACUGGGACGUUCUGACGGUGAGGGACGAAAGUUAGGGGCGCGAACCGGAUUAGAUACCCGGGUAGUCCUAACUGUAAACGAUGCGGACUUGGUGUUGGGGUGGCUUUGAGCUGCUUCAGUGCCGAAGGGAAGCUGUAAGUCCGCCGCCUGGGAAGUACGGUCGCAAGACUAAAACUUAAAAGGAUU
rnacentral:rRNA from 1 species